UCCACUCACAGCGUACGGCACCAGCGUCCGUGCUGCGGGCGGUAGGAGGAGGGGCGUGCGCGGAUCCGGGAGCGCGCCCAGAGCGACGGGAAGCUGGGCGAGAGCCGGGAGACCCUGGACCAGUUCCCUCAGGAGGAACACAGCCUGGGGUCUGGGUCACCACGUGCCGUCGCCUCCGCUGUCGCCGCCAGGCAGUUUAUAAUGAAGAUAUUCACCACCUGUCAAGGUUGCUUUGUUUUAUACAGGGAAUAUUUAAAGUCUUUUCCACAAGUUUUUUAAAUAAGGAAGAGAGCAGGCAGGUGCUGUUUUGUGCUGUGGCCGUGUGACUGGCAUAGUCACUGGAUGUGACAGUACUCUACACAUUGGGACCCUUGCACUGCACAAUAGAAUUUGACACUUUUCAACUUGUGUUUCUUAUGGACAGAGCAGCAGUGACAUUAAAACUCUACAUCAGACGCAUUGUCAUGUAGCCCUUUCUUGGGAAGAUGCAGAUGAACAAGGAACUGAGAGUGAUGCAGGGGGAAAUACCGAGAGCUCACUGAAAGAGCAUCCUCAAGAAGAUGAACGGUCCUCAAAAACAUCUCUACCACGGAAUGUGAUCUGCCCACCGUAGAGGAGCUGAUGACCUAUCAGAAUAGAUUCCUUUGGGGUUGGUGGUUUUGAUUUACAAUCUGUCAGUGACAAGAAACUGGCUGAGAAUAAAGAAACUGAAUUUGUUAAUGCUUUACCCCUUAAGAUGAAUCCAAAUUUUAUGUCUCAAGAAACAAAAUGUGAACCAAUUUUUGGACAAAAAUGAAUAACAUAUAGUUUUACAAAAGUCAACAAAUGAAGGAUUCUUCAGGAUACGGUGGUGGGAACAAGGAAGCAGAACUGACUAUGUUUGAAAGAGUUCAGGAAGCAGAGGGAAAAUGCAGAGGGGCACAAGCUCUCAGGGAGCGGAUUAAAGUCACAUUCUCAGAAAAAAGAGUUGGAAGAUAAGACGGAGGAACUACAAAGACAGCAGGAAAAUGAAGUCUUCAAAAUGAGUCAAGACAAUUAUAUUAUUUGAGCCAAGUCAACAGAUUUGGCGACCACGAAGGGACCCAGAGCAGAAUUUUCUCCACCUGAACUCUCCGAGUAACUGGAGCCUUGGUACAAGCAGUGGCCCUUUGUGCCCAUCCGCCUCCUCUGGGAGUCCAGAUGAACUUGGAAGCUAAGUAAUCUAUCCUUGGAUAAAGAUCCGAUGCCCAUGACCUGUGGCCAGGGGAUUAUGCAUACUGGAAUAGACAUGACGUAAAGAACUGUCUCCAACCUGAAUGAAAGGACCCUUUACCAGGUACUCUUAACUAGACCAUGCACAGUGAAAGCUAAAGGAAAUUGACUUUUGGAUUAGUUUCCAGUCAGAAAGAGCCCCUGCAGUGCACUGGCCUAUAGAGCACUGCUCACCUUAAAACAAUGCUCAAAUGAAGAAAAAUCUACCAGGUCUGGAUGAGAAGAAGAUGACAUCUGAGGUAGACAGCUGACCCAAGACACCGGACCAGCUUUGAAGAAUCAAACAAAAAUCACACGUGGUUGCAUCUUGAGGGAACAUUGGCUCCUGUCACUGAAGAAAAAUUGAAGCAAUUCCAAAAACAAAUAGGAACAAGAGACACUUUUUCAGGGAUGUCAACAGGAAAAUGAAAAAUUGUGUAAUCAAGUGAAAGAUCUCCAAGAACAAAACAAAAAUGAGAAGCGAAUGUUCAAGGAAAACCAGAGCUUAUUCAGCCAGUUUCCUUAAAGAGUAUCAAGAAAGAAAACCUGUUUAUUGGAAGACCUCAAAAGACUGAAGCAAGACCAGCAAGCUCUUGAAGCAGACUUGGAAAAAUGAAGAAAGAGACCAAGCCAGAGAGCAGCAAUAAUUGCAAGAUUGAAGAAAUUCAAAGAUUAUUUUGAAUUUGAAACACUGUGUGCGCAGCUGUUCGCAGUCCUCCCAGCCAGAUCGCGACCUCCCCGGGCCGGUCUCCCUUUUUAUCCCUGGGCCUGAAACGUAAGCUCUCAAGUGCUUGACAGAUGAACAGACAACACCAUGCUGUGUUUGUAGAAGACACGAGGGUGAAUACGGUGUUCCCCACUGGGGGAAACAAAGGAGGAGUAAGCCAAGGAUGCAGAAAAGUAUAAUAUUUAAAAAAAAAAUAGAAAUAAACAGGAAGUUUCCAGCAAGGAUUUCAGGGAGGAGAAGCGUCUGAGCUGGGUCCUGGCAGGUGGAGGGCCUCAGGAGGGGAGGCGGGAGGCCGCGCAGCUGUGUCUCGUGGGCGUGUCAUUGAGCGCACCUGGGCCGCUGGCGGGCAGGACACAGGGCCAGAAAGGUCAAUAGGACGAGCCCUUGUGCCAGAGGAAGGAUGUUUUCUCUGUGAUUUUAUGAUCUUCAUUGUAAGAUACAUACAAAGUCCACUAACCUGUUUGUAAGAAAUGUACUUUCCUCGUCUGUAAAAUAGAACAGUAAUCAUUGCUCCCAUCAUGUGUUUGUUGUGUUAAAUAUAAUCAUACAAACUUUGAGAAUUGUGACUGUGAACACAGCCUUGUUUUACUAACACAAUAGACUUGACACAACGUUGCAUUUUUUUUUUUGCCUGUUAUUUUUUCAUAAUGUUUUCAUUAGAUACGCAUUGGUUUUCAUGUGGAAUAUUUUUAUUUAGUUAUUUCCAUAUUUUGAAAAAUUACAUUUGGGUUAUUGAGUUACUUAAUCUUAUAGGUGAAAAAUUAUAAGAAAUAAAAAUUUUAGAAGAAACACAUAAGAAAUGAAUCAUCUGCAGAAAAGAUUACAGUGGUGUGCUGAAAAUCAUGAGCUGGGUAACGAUGCAGCUCAGCUUAAGGAAGCAAGUGAAGAAACUGAGAAGCUCAGACCUGAGGUGAUAGAUCGCUCCAGAAUGUGCUCCUGUAGGUGAACGCUGCUUGCUGUAACAGUCAGCUCUUAGCCCUGUGUCACUGAACCAGGGCUCUAAAUUCUGUUAAUUAAAACAGCUGAUUUGGGUUUGGUUUGCUUUUCUUUGUGUAGUCUGUUUUAGAUUAGACUGAGAAUACAGUCCACUGUCCAUAUCUAGGGGCUCCCUAUCCAACAGAUUCAACCAACUGUGGAUUGAAAAUAUUCGGGGAAAAGCAGAAAGUUCCAAAAAAUAACACUUGAAUUUGCCACACACCAGUAACUACUUAUAUAGCAUUCACAUUGCCUUAGAUACCAUGAGUAAUCUAGAGAUGAUUUAAAGUACACAGGAGGAUGCAUGUAAGUUCCAUGCAAGUCCUAUGCCAUUUUAUAUAAGAGGCUUCAGCAUCCAUGGAUGUUGGCAUCUGGGGGGUCCUGGAACCUCUGAAUGCUGCCUGUACCACGCUCCUCCGGUCUCUCUCCUCCAGCCCUGCCAGACUGCUUUCUGAUUCUUGAACAGGCCAAACUCACUGCACUUCACGUUUGGCCCCUAGAAAUACCCAUUACUUUCUGAGCAUGGCUCUGCUUCAAUAAGAAGGGCUGCAUUGCCACUAGAGAAGACAGUAUGGAGGUUUCUUAAAAAACUAAAAAUAGACUUAUGAUCCAGCCUUCCCACUCCCGGGCAUAUAUCAGGAGAACUCUUAAUUUGAAAAGACACAUGCACGUCAAUGUUCACAGCAGCACUAUUUAUAAUAGCCAGGACAUGGAAACAAUGCAAAUGUCCAUCGACAGGUGACUGGAUAAAGAAGUAGUGCUAUAUUUAUACACUGGAAUACCACUCGGCUAUUAAAAAGAACAAAAUGAUGCCAUUUGCAGCAGCAUGGAUGGACUUGGAGGUAGUCAUUCUGAGUGAAGUAAGCCAGAAAAAGAAAAAUGCCAUACGAUAUCACUUAUAUGUGGAAUCUAAAAAAAGACACACAUGAACUUAACUACAAAAGAGAAACAGACCCACAGACAUUGGGAAACAAACUUUUAGUUACCAGGGAGAGAAGGGGAUGGGAAGGGAUAAAUUUGGGAAUUCGAAAAUUGCCCCUCUUGGGGAGUGAUGGAAAUGUUAGCUAUCUUGAUUGUGGUGAUGGUUUUCUGGGUGUAGACAUCUAUCAAAUUCAUCAAAUAGUACAUGUGAAAUAUGUGUAAUUUACUGAACAGGAAUCACCACAAUAAAGUUGUUUUUAAAA